rnacentral:lncRNA from 1 species
UGCGAGGUUGUGGUACUGUUAUUCUGGAGGGAAAAAAACAUCCACCUGCGGUUAAAUCAGGGGAAUGGCUCAGAUCACAAAUCUAAAGUCGUGUAUCCUUAUUACAUGCUGCUCCUCUCGACUCAUCUGGUGCUGGUGGAACAGCGGGGGGACGGGGGAUCCGCGGUGACACCCCUGCCUCCGUGUUGCAGGGCGCGCGUCCUCGCACGCACGCACGCCCCCUCUCCAAGCCCGAGCGGUGUGCGGCGCGGCGCGGUCCCGGACGGUGUGCAUUUCCCCACACGUCGACGACGAAUGAUGCACGGGUGAUUCGAAAGGCGGCGGCUUACCGGCAUGGGUGCCCGGUGUCUGAGGGAAUAGCCUAUAUGGAUUGGAGCUCAUCAUCGCCGGAGCAAAUCUGGGCACAGUCAGAGAGUGCUGUGGGAGAGGAUACUCCAUCCAAGAUCACAGGUCACAUGACAGAUUUGUGUAGCGAUGAAACAGACAACUCUCUUCCUCUUCAGCUUCACACUCUCAAGGAGUUUGAACAGAGGUCAGAUCAGAAAGUGUAGAGGAAAUCAGUGGUAUUUUGUCCAGAAAUCCACGAUGAUGAACGAAGCAUCAGUGCAAGGAGGAACACCCGCAGCAGAGGAUUUAGAUGGAAACCACCCUGAACCCUCCUGGUGGUUAAAGUCUGCCUCUGGCUACAGCUUGGCCUACUUUAGAUCUCUGUGGCACUAUUACUGCACAAUGUACCAGUUCUAUUUCACAGAAGUACUUAUAAAAUAUUAUUUUUGUUGUUUAAUGAAUAAAAUUGAAUGUAAUGGGCAGGCGUAAUAUAAAAGCAAAAUUUCAUCUAAAGCUAAAUUUGACAAUGUUGAAGUCUUGAAAAUGUGACUUUUGGUAAUAAUAAUUUAAUCAUAUAGGGUGAAUGGAAUAAAAAAAAUUGGGCUUAGCU